AUCGCCUUAGUUUAACGGUAAAACGCUCGGAGAGAUAGAGAUGCAGGUUCGAGCCCUGCAGGCGGUA
rnacentral:tRNA from 1 species